rnacentral:lncRNA from 1 species
CAUACUUUAUUCAGAUUCGUUGUUUUCCAAUAUUUUCUACUCUAUCAUAUUUUUGAAAAAGCAGAACGAUAACCUUAUAGAGAUCAGGGUCAUCUGAGGCUAUAUACUACACAUUGUCAUGUUCAAUAUUAUUCACAAUAUCAAUCACCUGUCUUAUAUACAGGUAACUGUCACAUUUACAGGUAACUGUCACAAUUUAUUCGUUUAUAUGCAGAAGUAAUAUUUUCCUAGUUUGAAGGCAUUAAACGAAAAGAAAAGAGAUUGCAUUUUUUUUUAAUUCAUUUUCGGGUAUA